rnacentral:rRNA from 1 species
CCUACGGGAGGCAGCAGUGGGGGAUAUUGGACAAUGGGGGGAACCCUGAUCCAGCGACGCCGCGUGAGUGAAGAAGUAUUUCGGUAUGUAAAGCUCUGUCAGCAGGGAAGAAAGAAAUGACGGUACCUGACCAAGAAGCCCCGGCUAACUACGUGCCAGCAGCCGCGGUAAUACGGAGGGGGCAAGCGUUAUCCGGAAUUACUGGGUGUAAAGGGAGCGUAGACGGUUAAGUAAGUCUGGAGUGAAAGGCCGGGGCCCAACCCCGGGACUGCUCUGGAAACUAUUGAACUUGAGUGCAGGAGAGGUAAGCGGAAUUCCUAGUGUAGCGGUGAAAUGCGUAGAUAUUAGGAGGAACACCAGUGGCGAAGGCGGCUUACUGGACUGUAACUGACGUUGAGGCUCGAAAGCGUGGGGAGCAAACAGGAUUAGAUACCCCGGUAGUC